UACGGGCUGGCUNGAGUGCGGUAGGGGAGGCUGGAACUCCUGGUGUAGCGGUGGAAUGCGCAGAUAUCAGGAGGAACACCGGUGGCGAAGGCGGGUNUCUGGGCCGUUACUGACGCUGAGGAGCGAAAGCGUGGGGAGCGAACAGGAUUAGAUACCCUGGUAGUNCACGCUGUAAACGUUGGGCACUAGGUGUGGGGGGUCUUUCCGGGUCCUCCGCGCCGUAGCUAACGCAUUAAGUGCCCCGCCUGGGGAGUACGGCCGCAAGGCUAAAACUCAAAGGAAUUGACGGGGGCCCGCACAAGCGGCGGAGCAUGCGGAUUAAUUCGAUGCAACGCGAAAAACCUUACCAAGGCUUGACAUGUGCCGGUUGUCCUUCGGAGACGGGGGGUCCUCCCUAUUUGUGGGGGUCGGUUCACAGGUGGUGCAUGGUUGUCGUCAGCUCGUGUCGUGAGAUGUUGGGUUAAGUCCCGCAACGAGCGCAACCCUUGUCCCGUGUUGCCAGCACGUCGUGGUGGGGACUCGCGGGAGACUGCCGGGGUUAACUCGGAGGAGGGUGGGGAUGACGUCAAAUCAUCAUGCCCCUUAUGUCUUGGGCUUCACGCAUGCUACAAUGGCCGGUACAGUGGGUUGCGAUGUCGUGAGGCGGAGCGAAUCCCUUAAAGCCGGUCUCAGUUCGGAUCGGUGUCUGCAACUCGACACCGUGAAGCUGGAGUCGCUAGUAAUCGCAGAUCAGCAGCGCUGCGGUGAAUACGUUCUCGGGCCUUGUACACACCGCCCGUCACGUCAUGAA
rnacentral:rRNA from 1 species